UUGUGUGUACGUUUUGCCGGGUACGCGUAGUGAGGAGCUGUGCUCUGACUGUUCCCACCGCUGAUACUGGCUUUCCUGGUAAGACCAUGGUGUACGCGUACGGGAAGCAAUGCUCGGAGGCUUGGAGAGAGUGAGGCAUACCUGUUCCCCAUUUCAGACGAUUCGCUCGAUUUCACCGGCGAUUCGCGACGCCGGGAGGAGGUUCGUCAGCGCCGACUGAUUCCUCGCGGAGGGGGCUGCUUCCUCCCGCGGGCAAAGCUUCCUCGCGACGGCGAAGCAUCCUUGCGCGGGCACGCGCCGUCGAAGCUUCCUCGCGCCGGUGGCUCCUUCGCCGUGUCGACGGCCGCUUUCCAGCAUUGUACGGCUACAUGCCCACACAACCUGCUAAAUCGGCCUCGUCUUCAGUUACAUCCACUGUAAGGGUGAAGGAGAAGGUGGGAAGCUUCAUCGUUGUGCCACAUCCUCAUGGGCGGCGGCAACAUCCUCUUCGCGUGCAGCCAAAACUUUAGUGUCAUCGGUCACACUCCUACGGGGUCGGCUACAUCCCAGUGUCUCCUGAUACAUCCAACUGUAAGGCAAUCACAUUUCUAUCAUGAAGUCGCUCGAUGUAGCAGUUUGAGUAUUCUCAGUGUUCAUGCUAGUGUUCGGCUGAUCGAUGUACUUGUGUUGAUAUGUUAGUAGCAAAAAUUAGUUACAGUAGUGGAAGAGUACCAUCUAGUAAUAAAAUUGACUGGAGAUGUGUUACAUCUCUUGUCAUGAUUCCUACAUGUAACUGAUUUAUAUCCUACAAAAAAAUUGACAUUUGCUACA